rnacentral:rRNA from 1 species
AUUGAACGCUGGCGGAAUGCUUUACACAUGCAAGUCGAACGGCAGCACGGGUGCUUGCACCUGGUGGCGAGUGGCGAACGGGUGAGUAAUACAUCGGAACGUACCCAGUUGUGGGGGAUAACGAGUCGAAAGAUUCGCUAAUACCGCAUACGACCUGAGGGUGAAAGCGGGGGACCGUAAGGCCUCGCGCAAUUGGGGCGGCCGAUGUCGGAUUAGCUAGUUGGGGAGGUAAAGGCUCACCAAGGCGACGAUCAGUAGCUGGUCUGAGAGGAUGAUCAGCCACACUGGAACUGAGACACGGUCCAGACUCCUACGGGAGGCAGCAGUGGGGAAUUUUGGACAAUGGGGGAAACCCUGAUCCAGCCAUUCCGCGUGAGUGAAGAAGGCCUUCGGGUUGUAAAGCUCUUUCGGCAGGGAAGAAACGCUCUGGCUUAAUACGCCGGGGUAAUGACGGUACCUGAAGAAGAAGCACCGGCUAACUACGUGCCAGCCGCCGCAGUAA